GUGCUAGCUUCGGCAGCACAUAUAUAAAAUUGGAACGAUACAGCGAAGAUUAGCAUGGCCCCUGCAUAAGGAUGACACACGAAUUCAUGAAGCGUUCCAUAUUUAA
rnacentral:snRNA from 1 species